ACAUGCAAGUCGAGGGGUGACAUGGUAGCUUGCUGCCGAUGACGACCGGCGCACGGGUGCGCAACGCGUAUACAAUCUGCCCCCUACUGUGGGAUAGCCCAGAGAAAUUUGGAUUAAUACCACAUGGUACCAUAUUACGGCAUCGUAUUUAUGGUUAAAGGUUACGGUAGGGGAUGAGUAUGCGUCCCAUUAGUUAGUUGGUGAGGUAACGGCUCACCAAGACCGCGAUGGGUAGGGGCCCUGAGAGGGGGAUCCCCCACACUGGUACUGAGAACGGACCAGACUCCUACGGGAGGCAGCAGUGAGGAAUAUUGGACAAUGGGCGGGAGCCUGAUCCAGCCAUGCCGCGUGCAGGAAGAAUGCCCUAUGGGUAAUAAACUGCUUUUAUACGGGAAGAAAAAGGGCUACGUGUAGCCCACUGACGGUACCGUAAGAAUAAGGACCGGCUAACUCCGUGCCAGCAGCCGCGGUAAUACGGAGGGUCCGAGCGUUAUCCGGAAUUAUUGGGUUUAAAGGGUCCGUAGGCGGGCCGAUAAGUCAGGGGUGAAAGUUUGCAGCUCAACUGUAAAAUUGCCUUUGAUACUGUCGGUCUUGAGUUAUAGUGAAGUUGCCGGAAUAUGUAGUGUAGCGGUGAAAUGCAUAGAUAUUACAUAGAACACCGAUUGCGAAGGCAGGUGACUAACUAUAUACUGACGCUGAUGGACGAAAGCGUGGGGAGCGAACAGGAUUAGAUACCCUGGUAGUCCACGCCGUAAACGAUGGAUACUAGCUGUCCGGGUCCUUGAGACCUGGGCGGCCAAGCGAAAGUGAUAAGUAUCCCACCUGGGGAGUACGUUCGCAAGAAUGAAACUCAAAGGAAUUGACGGGGGCCCGCACAAGCGGUGGAGCAUGUGGUUUAAUUCGAUGAUACGCGAGGAACCUUACCAGGGCUUAAAUGCAUUUUGACAGGGGUAGAGAUACCUUUUCCUUCGGGCAAUUUGCAAGGUGCUGCAUGGUUGUCGUCAGCUCGUGCCGUGAGGUGUCAGGUUAAGUCCUAUAACGAGCGCAACCCCUACCGUUAGUUGCCAGCGAGUCAUGUCGGGGACUCUAACGGGACUGCCGGUGCAAACCGUGAGGAAGGUGGGGACGACGUCAAAUCAUCACGGCCCUUACGUCCUGGGCCACACACGUGCUACAAUGGCCGGUACAGCGGGAAGCCAUGCGGCAACGCAGAGCGGAUCCACAAAACCGGUCACAGUUCGGAUCGGGGUCUGCAACUCGACCCCGUGAAGCUGGAAUCGCUAGUAAUCGGAUAUCAGCCAUGAUCCGGUGAAUACGUUCCCGGGCCUUGUACACACCGCCCGUCAAGCCAUGGAAGCCGGGAGUGCCUGAAGUCCGUCACCGUAAGGAGCGGCCUAGGGCAAGAUCGG
rnacentral:rRNA from 1 species